rnacentral:lncRNA from 1 species
GUUAGCUUGCUCCUGGGUGCUCUGUGAACUUGUAGCUCUGCUCAGAGCUGCACUGGCCAGCCAGCCUUGUCAUGCACAACAGUGGAAAAAGAAAUAACCAGUAUGAUCAGGUGCCCUGACUUCCAAAGACUUGCUCCUGAUUCACACUGCUACAGCCAAGAGGAGAAGGACUCCACAUUAUUGUUCCCAGGAAUGAAUCCUGAAGGUCUCUUGAUCUGUGAAGCAGCUACAGGGAAAUUCGUCGUAGAAACAGUCCCAUUACUGCCUUUUGUCCGCAUGACUCAUAUUGAUCCUGUUAACUGCGACUAACGUAUUUCCUAAGAUAUACUUUCUUAGCUUUAGGCCAAAACUCUCUGGUCCUGCCUCCUUCUUAUGCACAAGUUUUCCUCUAAUUCCUAUUGAUGCUACCCUGCCUGGCACAGAGUGAACCAUCUCCCUUCAUUCCCACAAGCAAGUGCCAUGCAGCCCUGUGCAGCAGGUAUCAAGAACCUGCUGGUCACACUGCAGUGAGAAACUCAGUCCAGAGGCCCUCAGCUGAGCAGCAGCCAUAGCACA